CGGUUCGCUGCCGACAACGUCGCGAGAAGUCCACUGAACCUUAUCAUUUAGAGGAAGGAGAAGUCGUAACAAGGUUUCCGUAGGUGAACCUGCGGAAGGAUCAUUGUCGAAAUCGAACGGAAGAACGACCCGCGAAUCGUCAUUGCGUACCGGAGAGAGCCCCCGAGCGCCCGACGCUCGGGCGGCUCCCGUCGUGUCGGCGCGGGUGUACUCGAGACCAGCGUCGUAACGGCGAACGAACAACCUCAGCACGGAUCGUGCCAAGGAGCUGCAUGGAGAGAAUCGUCGUCCCACGCCUUCGGCCGUCCACUCGCGGGACGGGAGCGGGGGACGGUACACGCGAUCUCUGCUCAAGUCUAAACGACUCUCGGCAACGGAUAUCUCGGCUCUUGCAUCGAUGAAGAACGUAGCGAAAUGCGAUACUUGGUGUGAAUUGCAGAAUCCCGCGAACCAUCAAUUCUUUGAACGCAAGUUGCGCCCGAAGCCAUUCGGCCGAGGGCACGCCUGCCUGGGUGUCGUGAAUCCCCUUGCCCCCAAGGCAAACCCCGCACGCGCGUCGGCGGGGAUAAAGCUCGGGCGCAGAACAUGGUCUCCCGUGGGAUCGGCAUGCACGGCAUGACGAGGCGCGGUUGGCCGAAAUUCGAGCAUUGCGGUGACGGGCACCACGGCGUUCGGUGGAUCGAACUAGAUUGGCUGCGCCGUGGUCUCGGCAUGCGGCGGGCUCCGUACUUUGACAAUCCCCGAGUGCGAUCCCAGGUCAGGCGGGGCUACCCGCUGAGUUUAAGCAUAUCAAUAAGC
rnacentral:rRNA from 1 species